rnacentral:rRNA from 1 species
UGAAUACGAGACGCUAAGGCGUCGAAGUAGUGUAUGUCAUACUUCCAAGAAAAGCUUGCACUGUCAUAGAUAAAAAACGCCUGUACCAUAACCGACACAGGUGGGUAGGUAGAGUAUACUAAGGGGCGCGAGAUAACUCUCUCUAAGGAACUCGGCAAAAUAACUCCGUAACUUCGGGAGAAGGAGUGCCUUAUUCGUAAGGUUGCAAUAACAAGAUCCAAGCAACUGUUUAUCAAAAACACAGGUCUCCGCUAAGUCGUAAGACGAUGUAUGGGGGCUGACGCCUGCCCAGUGCCAGAAGGUUAAAGAAGUUGGUUAGCAAUUGCGAAGCUGAUAACUGAAGCCCUGGUGAACGGCGGCCGUAACUAUAACGGUCCUAAGGUAGCGAAAUUCCUUGUCGGGUAAGUUCCGACCCGCACGAAAGGCGUAAUGAUUUGGAUACUGUCUCGGAGAGGGGCUCGGUGAAAUAGACUUGUCUGUGAAGAUGCGGACUACCUGCACCAGGACAGAAAGACCCUAUGAAGCUUUACUGUAACUUGAAAUUGAAAUUGGACUUUAUUCGCGCAGUAUAGGUGGGAGGCGUUGAUUAUAAUCUUGUGGGAUUAUUGGAGCCAUCAGUGAGAUACCACUCUUGUAAUGUUAGAUUUCAAACUUUGAAUCAUUAUCUGGUCAAAGAACAGUUUCAGGCGGGCAGUUUGACUGGGGCGGUCGCCUCCUAAACGGUAACGGAGGCGUACAAAGGUUUCCUCUGAACGGUUAGAAAUCGUAUCUAGAGUGUAAAGGCAUAAGGAAGCUUGACUGUGAGACCUACAGGUCGAGCAGGGACGAAAGUCGGUCUUAGUGAUCUGACGGUACUGAGUGGAAAGGCCGUCACUCAACGGAUAAAAGUUACUCUAGGAUAACAGGCUGAUCUCCCCCAAGAGUUCACAUCGACGGGGAGGUUUGGCACCUCGAUGUCGGCUCAUCGCAUCCUGGGGCGGUAGUACGUCCCAAGGGUUGGGCUGUUCGCCCAUGAAAGCGGUACGCGAGCAGGGUUCAGAACGUCGUGAGACAGUUCGGUCCAUAUCCGGUGUAGGCGUUAGAAUAUUGAGAGGAGCCUUCUUUAGUACGAGAGGACCGAGAAGGACAUACCUCUGGUGUACCAGUUAUCGUGCCAACGGUAAACGCUGGGUAGCUAUGUAUGGAGUGGAUAACCGCUGAAAGCAUCUAAGUGGGAAGCCCACCUCAAGAUAAGUGUUCUCAUC